AAAGGGGCGGCGUGCCUAUACAUGCAAGUCGAGCGAGCUUGCCUAGAUGAUUUUAGUGCUUGCACUAAAUGAAACCAGAUACAAGCGAGCGGCGGACGGGUGAGUAACACGUGGGUAACCUGCCCAAGAGACUGGGAUAACACCUGGAAACAGAUGCUAAUACCGGAUAACAACACUAGACGCAUGUCUAGAGUUUGAAAGAUGGUUCUGCUAUCACUCUUGGAUGGACCUGCGGUGCAUUAGCUAGUUGGUAAGGUAACGGCUUACCAAGGCAAUGAUGCAUAGCCGAGUUGAGAGACUGAUCGGCCACAUUGGGACUGAGACACGGCCCAAACUCCUACGGGAGGCAGCAGUAGGGAAUCUUCCACAAUGGACGAAAGUCUGAUGGAGCAACGCCGCGUGAGUGAAGAAGGGUUUCGGCUCGUAAAGCUCUGUUGGUAGUGAAGAAAGAUAGAGGUAGUAACUGGCCUUUAUUUGACGGUAAUUACUUAGAAAGUCACGGCUAACUACGUGCCAGCAGCCGCGGUAAUACGUAGGGGGCGAGCGUUAUCCGGAUUCACUGGGUGUAAAGGGAGCGUAGACGGCCGUGCAAGCCAGGAGUGAAAGCCCGGGGCCCAACCCCGGGACUGCUCUUGGAACUGUGCGGCUGGAGUGCGGGAGGGGCAGGCGGAAUUCCUGGUGUAGCGGUGAAAUGCGUAGAUAUCAAGAGGAACACCGGCGGCGAACGCGGCCUGCUGGACCGCGACUGACGUUGAGGCUCGAAAGCGUGUGGAGCGAACAGGAUUAGAUACCCUGGUAGUCCACGCCGUAAACGAUGACUACUAGGUGUCGGGGCACGACAGUGCUUCGG
rnacentral:rRNA from 1 species